GUCUUUGGCUCUUUCUCUGCAUUUAAACCUCCAGGAAAUGUGAAGGCUAAAACUUUUGGUAGGGGAAUUCUCUGAAGUGAAGUGACAUAAGUGUUGAUUUGGGAUGUCUCCCUUCCUCUUCCUGUCCACCAGAAAGAACUUUUCAAAGAAAUUCCAGUUUUCCAAAUUUUAAGUGCCUUCCUAAUUGCCAGCAGCUUGUCUGCCCUCUGUUACUCCAUCAUUUACUGGAAACGUUAAAUAAUCAUAAAAAUGUUGUAUCUUGUACUGCUGCUACAGGCAGCUGAUGUAAGUGAACUGUCAUUGAAAGGAUGUUUUUCUUUUCUCUUCUGUUUUCCCUGCUGAACAAAGAAGUAACAAUAUCUGAUCUUUAGGCCUUGUUCUUUGGGCCUUCUUUCUUAGUUUCAGCUUUGCUUUUAGCUGUACAGUUGGGCCUCUCCCAGCGCAGUGCUUAGAGAUGUGAAAGAAACUACCUAUUGAUGCACUCUGGAUUUACAUAAACUGUUGAAAAAUGUGCCAGGUAAACCUAUAUUUUCCUAUAACUGUACUCUUGGGUUUUUACUGGUUUGCUUAUGAAGUGAUGGGUACAAGUGGGAUGUUGAAGUCAAUGGUGUCCAACUUCUGUCUCUGGGGAAGACAAAACAAAAGGUGAGAAGGUAUAUAUUAAUUGUGUCUUGUCUGAUAUGAUAUUCAGUGAUUUUUUUUUUUUAACUUCUAGUAUUUUGAGUGUCUUGUUUUAUGAGGGCUUGAAGCGUAUUUUCACAUUUCAGUCACAGGUUCGUAGCUUCUAACAUUGCUGUUGCACCAGAAAUUUUGAUCAGAAAUACGUGGUUUUAUUGUGUUGUUAAAGUCUCUAGGCAGAGUUAUGUGUAGUCCAGAUGCUUGUUUAACCUAAAUUUUCUUUCCAGUAUGUUUGUGUUGCAGAAAUACAGCAAUCCACAGAUCUGCAUAGAUGCAGCAUGUCAAGAGGGAUCUACUGGACAGUUCUUUUCUAGAAAUUGUUUUCCCAUUCUGCUUCCUUCAAACAGGCUGUUGACUCAAGGCUUUUGUUGAACA
rnacentral:lncRNA from 1 species